ACCAGCCAUGCCGCGUGCAGGAUGACUGCCCUAUGGGUUGUAAACUGCUUUUGUCCAGGAAUAAACCUAUCUACGUGUAUCUAGCUGAAUGUACUGGAAGAAUAAGGAUCGGCUAACUCCGUGCCAGCAGCCGCGGUAAUAC
rnacentral:rRNA from 1 species